GCUGCUUAUGCCAGCCAGGGGACUGGUCGGCUCAAGUGCUGAAGAAGGACGUGCCAAGCUGCGAUAAGCCUCGGGCAGGCAUGGAGCCAUUGAACCGAGGAUGUCCUAAUGGGAAAUCCUAAGUCUAAGACUUGAUCCUCAAGGAUCGGGAACGUCCCGGAUUGAAACAUCUUAGUAGGGACAGGAAGAGAAAUCAACCGAGAUACCGUCAGUAACGGCGAGUGAACGCGGUAGAGCCUAAACCGAAUCCUGCAAGGAGAUGUGGUGUUAUAAGCUGGUCUAAACGUUUUGAUCUGGAAGUCGAAGUGGCCUGGAAUGGCUGCCAUAGAGUGUGAGAGCCACGUAGUCGUAACAGAUCAAUACCGAGACCAUGACUUGAGUACCGUGCGUCGAAAUCGCGCGGAAUUUGGGG
rnacentral:rRNA from 1 species